AAGUCCUGUGGCGAUGUGUAGCGGAGGCGUUAAUGAGAUGACUGUGAUCACCUGGCCGGUCCUCCCAGACUAUUUAACCCCCGCCUGCCCCGAGACCAGGAGGCCGCAUUCUCCCGACGGCGCACCAACACGUCUUCUC